GGGAAGGUAGCUUAGUGGUAGAGUGCUUGCCUACCAUGCAUGAAGCCAUAUAGGUUCAAUUCCUCAGUACCA
rnacentral:tRNA from 1 species